rnacentral:rRNA from 2 species
CAUAACGACUCUCGGCAACGGAUAUCUCGGCUCUCGCAUCGAUGAAGAACGUAGCGAAAUGCGAUACUUGGUGUGAAUUGCAGAAUCCCGUGAACCAUCGAGUCUUUGAACGCAAGUUGCGCCCCAAGCCUUUAGGCCGAGGGCACGUCUGCCUGGGUGUCACG